GAUGCAUAGCCGAGUUGAGAGACUGAUCGGCCACAUUGGGACUGAGACACGGCCCAAACUCCUACGGGAGGCUGCAGUAGGGAAUCUUCCACAAUGGGCGCAAGCCUGAUGGAGCAACGCCGCGUGUGUGAUGAAGGCUUUCGGGUCGUAAAGCACUGUUGUAUGGGAAGAAAUGCUAAAAUAGGGAAUGAUUUUAGUUUGACGGUACCAUACCAGAAAGGGACGGCUAAAUACGUGCCAGCAGCCGCGGUAAUACGUAUGUCCCGAGCGUUAUCCGGAUUUAUUGGGCGUAAAGCGAGCGCAGACGGUUGAUUAAGUCUGAUGUGAAAGCCCGGAGCUCAACUCCGGAAUGGCAUUGGAAACUGGUUAACUUGAGUGUUGUAGAGGUAAGUGGAACUCCAUGUGUAGCGGUGGAAUGCGUAGAUAUAUGGAAGAACACCAGUGGCGAAGGCGGCUUACUGGACAACAACUGACGUUGAGGCUCGAAAGUGUGGGUAGCAAACAGGAUUAGAUACCCUGGUAGUCCACACCGUAAACGAUGAAUACUAGGUGUUAGGAGGUUUCCGCCUCUUAGUGCCGAAGCUAACGCAUUAAGUAUUCCGCCUGGGGAGUACGACCGCAAGGUUGAAACUCAAAGGAAUUGACGGGGACCCGCACAAGCGGUGGAGCAUGUGGUUUAAUUCGAAGCAACGCGAAGAACCUUACCAGGUCUUGACAUCCUUUGAAGCUUUUAGAGAUAGAAGUGUUCUCUUCGGAGACAAAGUGACAGGUGGUGCAUGGUCGUCGUCAGCUCGUGUCGUGAGAUGUUGGGUUAAGUCCCGCAACGAGCGCAACCCUUAUUGUUAGUUGCCAGCAUUCAGUUGGGCACUCUAGCGAGACUGCCGGUGACAAACCGGAGGAAGGCGGGGACGACGUCAGAUCAUCAUGCCCCUUAUGACCUGGGCUACACACGUGCUACAAUGGCGUAUACAACGAGUUGCCAACCUGCGAAGGUGAGCUAAUCUCUUAAAGUACGUCUCAGUUCGGACUGCAGUCUGCAACUCGACUGCACGAAGUCGGAAUCGCUAGUAAUCGCGGAUCAGCACGCCGCGGUGAAUACGUUCCCGGGUCUUGUACACACCGCCCGUCACACCAUGGGAGUUUGUAAUGCCCAAAGCCGGUGG
rnacentral:rRNA from 1 species